CGCGUAGGCGGGAUGGCAAGUCGGUCGUGAAAUCCUUCGGCUCAACCGAAGAACGUCGGCCGAUACUGCCGUUCUUGAGGGAUGCAGAGGAGAUUGGAAUUCCCGGUGUAGCGGUGAAAUGCGUAGAUAUCUGGAGGAACACCGACGGCGAAGGCAGCCCGCUGGACAAAUCCUGACACUCAGGCUCGAAAGUAUGGGAGCAAAAG
rnacentral:rRNA from 1 species